GGGUACAUAGCUCAGUGGUAGGGCAUGUGCGUGGCACGCGUGAGGUCCUAGGUUCAAUCCCCAGUACCUCCA
rnacentral:tRNA from 1 species